GAUGAAGAACGCAGUGAAAUGCGAUAAGUAAUGUGAAUUGCAGAAUUCAGUGAAUCAUCGAAUCUUUGAACGCACAUUGCGCCCCUUGGUAUUCCGGGGGGCAUGCCUGUUCGAGCGUCAUUAUAACCCCUCAAGCUCAGCUUGGUGUUGGGGCCUGCCAACUGGCAGCCCUUAAAAUCAGUGGCGGCGCCAUCUGGCUCUAAGCGUAGUAAUUUCUCUCGCUAUAGGGUCCCGGUGGAUGCUGGCCAACAACCCCCAAUUUUCUAUGGUUGACCUCGGAUCAGGUAGGGAUACCCGCUGAACUUAAGCAAAUCAAUAAGCGGAGGA
rnacentral:misc_RNA from 1 species